UACGAAGGGGCUAGCGUUGCUCGGAAUCACUGGGCGUAAAGGGUGCGUAGGCGGGUCUUAAGUCAGGGGUGAAAUCCUGGAGCUCAACUCCAGAACUGCCUUUGAUACUGAGGAUCUUGAGUUCGGGAGAGGUGAGUGGAACUGCGAGUGUAGAGGUGAAAUUCGUAGAUAUUCGCAAGAACACCAGUGGCGAAGGCGGCCCACUGGCCCGAUACUGACGCUGAGGCACGAAAGCGUGGGGAGCAAACAGG
rnacentral:rRNA from 1 species